ACGCGCGCGUUCGACAAGGAACCCGAAGUGUCUAUAGGUCGGAAGUUUCCAGGUGGCCAAAAAGACCCCUUUAAAAGUGGGAGGUUUUCCGAAGGGGAAGAGGGGUGUUGGUUGAUUAACCCCCACCUCCGAUAUACUCCGCUUUAUAUUGCGGGGAAGAAAACCGGAACAGCGAGCAAGGGAGGAGGAGGAGGUCCAGAGAGGACAAAGAGGAGAGACUCUGAUCUGCAAGUCUUGAGCUCAACUCCUCGCCUGAAACAGAAAAAUACAGAGACUUUGUCCUGGACCAAUUGAGAGGAUUUUGUCUCCCUGCACUCUGAAGCAGACGGUGGAGAAGACAGGCAAGAAUUCUGGGGGGCCACCUGUAAUUUCAAAAGGAAUAACGAAAGAAACCAUUUAAAUGUGUAGAGUGUGGAAUGUGCUCCAGUCAAUGAGCACAAUUCUUUCACAUUAAUUAACUGAACCAGAUAGCGUCAAUUGAAACCUUAAUAUACACCUACAGACUCACACAGGGGAGAAACCAUUUAAAGGUAUGGAGUGUGGAA